CUGGCUGGUUCUUGUCAUGGUCUCAGAAUGUUCAGGCUCCUGGCAGGAAGAACAGUGACACACUGUUUGGAAAGUAAAUCCAAGGAUUUAGGAAGUAAAAACAGCACCCUGGGAGUUGGAGUCCCCUCCCACAUGGAGUCUCAGGAGUCUUUCCUCAUCAUCUGCUACCUGAUCUGUUUCCUUGGGGCAGCAGGAUUGAAAGUGGAGCCUUUUGCCUUGCAAAUCUUAUGGUGGAGAAGAAUGAAUUGAGAACCCGCCUGUUUGGACUGCAAGACACCAGCUGUCUGCCUCUACUCUCAUAAACUGAAAUGUGGUGCCUGUGUUUUACAUCAGGGGUCCCCCACCUUUUUGGUUCUGUGGACGGAUGGCAGUGGUUGCGGCGGCUUUGCUGGUUUUGGUGGUGGUGGUGGUGGUGCGAUGGUUCCGUGCACAACCUAAAUCCAAUGCAUACACAAAUGAAGCUUUGUGCAUGGUUCCCAGGCCCGGGAGGUUGGUGAGGAAAACCUUAGAAAAAGAUGCUACCUUAAAGUCAUCAUACCCAAGGUUGUUGCAUUAAAGAGCCUUCACUGAAA